rnacentral:rRNA from 1 species
GACGAACGCUGGCGGCGUGCCUAAUACAUGCAAGUAGAACGCACAGUUUAUACCGUAGCUUGCUACACCAUAGACUGUGAGUUGCGAACGGGUGAGUAACGCGUAGGUAACCUGCCUGGUAGCGGGGGAUAACUAUUGGAAACGAUAGCUAAUACCGCAUAAUAUUGAUUAUUGCAUGAUAAUUGAUUGAAAGAUGCUAUUGCAUCACUACCAGAUGGACCUGCGUUGUAUUAGCUAGUAGGUGAGGUAACGGCUCACCUAGGCGACGAUACAUGGCCGACCUGAGAGGGUGAUCGGCCACACUGGGACUGAGACACGGCCCAGACUCCUACGGGAGGCAGCAGUAGGGAAUCUUCGGCAAUGGACGAAAGUCUGACCGAGCAACGCCGCGUGAGUGAAGAAGGUUUUCGGAUCGUAAAGCUCUGUUGUAAGAGAAGAACGGGUGUGAGAGUGGAAAGUUCACACUGUGACGGUAUCUUACCAGAAAGGGACGGCUAACUACGUG